rnacentral:rRNA from 1 species
AUGCAAGUCGAGCGAUGAAGCUCCUUCGGGAGUGGAUUAGCGGCGGACGGGUGAGUAACACGUGGGUAACCUGCCUCAUAGAGGGGAAUAGCUUUCGAAAGGAAGAUUAAUACCGCAUAAGAUUGUAGUACCGCAUGGUACAGCAAUUAAAGGAGUAAUCCGCUAUGAGAUGGACCCGCGUCGCAUUAGCUAGUUGGUGAGGUAACGGCUCACCAAGGCGACGAUGCGUAGCCGACCUGAGAGGGUGAUCGGCCACAUUGGGACUGAGACACGGCCCAGACUCCUACGGGAGGCAGCAGUGGGGAAUAUUGCACAAUGGGGGAAACCCUGAUGCCAGCAACGCCGCGUGAGUGAUGACGGUCGUUCGGAUUGUAAAGCUCUGUCUUUAGGGACGAUAAUGACGGUACCUAAGGAGGAAGCCACGGCUAACUACGUGCCAGCCGCGGC